UACGGGGGGGGCAAGCGUUGUUCGGAAUUACUGGGCGUAAAGCGUGCGUAGACGGCUAUCUAAGUCGGGUGUGAAAGCCCCGGGCUCAACCUGGGAAUUGCAUUCGAGACUGAAUAGCUAGGGUACGGUAGAGGGAAGUGGAAUUUCCGGUGUAGCGGUGAAAUGCGUAGAUAUCGGAAGGAACAUCAGUGGCGAAAGCGACUUCCUGGACCAGUACCGACGUUCAGGCACGAAAGCGUGGGGAGCAAACAGG
rnacentral:rRNA from 1 species